rnacentral:rRNA from 1 species
UCCAGACUCCUACGGGAGGCAGCAGUGGGGAAUAUUGGGCAAUGGACGCAAGUCUGACCCAGCAACGCCGCGUGAAGGAAGAAGGCUUUCGGGUUGUAAACUUCUUUUAAGGGGGAAGAGUAGAAGACGGUACCCCUUGAAUAAGCCACGGCUAACUACGUGCCAGCAGCCGCGGUAAUACGUAGGUGGCAAGCGUUGUCCGGAUUUACUGGGUGUAAAGGGCGUGCAGCCGGAGAGACAAGUCAGAUGUGAAAUCCACGGGCUCAACCCGUGAACUGCAUUUGAAACUGUUUCCCUUGAGUGUCGGAGAGGUAAUCGGAAUUCCUUGUGUAGCGGUGAAAUGCGUAGAUAUAAGGAAGAACACCAGUGGCGAAGGCGGAUUACUGGACGAUAACUGACGGUGAGGCGCGAAAGCGUGGGGAGCCAACA